ensembl:lncRNA
UUUUCCCAUUUUUUCCCCAUUUUUUCCCAUUUUUUCCCAUUUUUCCCCAUUUUUUCCCAUUUUUCCCAUUUUUUCCCAUUUUUCCCCAUUUUUUCCCAUUUUUUCCCAUUUUUCCCCAUUUUUUUCCCAUUUUUCCCCAUUUUUUCCCAUUUUUUCCCCUUUUUUCCCAUUUUUCCCCAUUUUUUCCCAUUUUUUUCCAUUUUUUUCCAUUUUUUCCCAUUUUUCCCAUUUUUUCCCAUUUUUUCCCAUUUUUUCCCAUUUUUCCCCAUUUUUUUCCCAUUUUUUCUCCAUUUUUUCCCCAUUUUUCCCCAUUUUUUUCCCAUUUUUCCCCAUUUUUUCCCAUUUUUCCCCAUUUUUUUCCCAUUUUUCCCCAUUUUUUCCCCUUUUUUUCCAUUUUUCCCAUUUUUCCCCAUUUUUUCCCAUUUUUUCCCAUUUUUCCCCAUUUUUUUCCCAUUUUUCCCCAUUUUUUCCCAUUUUUUCCCAUUUUUCCCCAGUUUUUUCCCAUUUUUCCCCAUUUUUUCCCCAUUUUUUCCCAUUUUUUCCCCUUUUUUAUCUUUUUUCCCAGUUUUUCCCCUUUUAUCUUUUUUUCCCAUUUUUCCCCAUUUUUUUCCCACUUUUUUUUUUACCCAUUUUUUCCCGUCUUUUCCCUGAUUUUCUCCCUUUUCUUUCCCCUUUUUUUUCCCCUUUUUUUCCCUUUUCUCCCUCAGUUUUUUCCCAUUUUUUCCCCCAUUUUUUCCCCUUUCUUUUCCCCAGUUUUUCCCCUUUUUUUCCCAUUAUUUCUCCCUUUUCCCCCUUUGUUUUCCCCAUUUUUUCCCAUUUUUUUUCCCCAUUUUUCCCCUUUAUUUUCUCCAUUUUUUCCCCUUCUUGAUCUUUUUCCCCACAGUUUUUCCCCUUUUAUCUUUUUUCCCUUUUUCCUCCUUUUUUCCUCCUAUUUUUCCCCAUUUUUUCCCCUUCUUUUCCCUGAUUUUCCCCCAUUUUUUCCCCUUUUUUUUUCCCUUUUUUCCCUUUUCUCCCUCAGUUUUUUCCCAUUUUUUACCCCAUUUUUUUCCCUUUCUUUUCCCCAGAUUUUUCCCAUUUUUUCCCCUUUUUUUCCCAUUUUUUUCCCAUUUUUUUCCCUUUUUUUCCCAUUUUUUCCCCCAUUUUUUCCCCUUUGUUUUCCCCAUUUUUUCACAUUUUUUUCUCCCUUUUCCCCCCAUUUUUCCCUUUCUUUUCCCCAUUUUUCCCCAUUUUUUCCCCAUUUUUCCCCUUCUUUUCCCCAUUUUUCCCCUUCUUUUCCCCAUUUUUCCCCCAUUUUUUCCCCAUUUUUUUCCCAUUUUUUCUCCCUUUUCCCCCCAUUUUUCCCCUUCUUUUCCCCAUUUUUUCCCCUUCUUUUCCCCAUUUUUUCCCCAGUUUUCCCCAUUUUUUUCUCCCUUUUCCCCCCAUUUUUCCCCUUCUUUUCCCCAUUUUUCCCCCUUUUUUUCCCCAUUUUUUCCCCAUUUUUUCCCAUUUUUUUCCCCAUUUUUUCCCAUUUUUUUCUCCCUUUUCCCCCCAUUUUUCCCCUUUUUUUCCCCAUUUUUUCCCCAUUUUUUCCCAUUUUUUCCCAUUUUUUCCCUUUUUUUUCCCUUUUUUUCCCCAUUUUCCUCCCAUUUUUUCUCCAUUUUUGCCUCCUUUCUUUUCCCCAUUUUUUCCCCAUUUUUCCCCCCUUUUUUCCCCAUUUUCCCCAUUUUUCCCCAUUUUUCCCCUUAUUUUCCCCAUUUUUCCCCUUAUUUUCCCCAUUUUUUCCCCCAUUUUUUCCCAUUUUUUUCCCACUUUUCCCCCCAUUUUUCCCCUUUUUUUCCCCAUUUUUUCCCCAUUUUUUCCCAUUUUUUCCCAUUUUUUUCCCUUUUUUUUCCCUUUUUUUCCCCAUUUUCCUCCCAUUUUUUCUCCAUUUUUGCCUCCUUUCUUUUCCCCAUUUUUUCCCCAUUUUUCCCCCCUUUUUUCCCCAUUUUCCCCUUUUUUUCCCCAUUUUUCCCCAUUUUUCCCCUUAUUUUCCCCAUUUUUUUCCCAUUUUUCCCCUUUUUUUCCCCAUUUUUUCCCAUUUUUUUCUCCCUUUUCCCCCCAUUUUUCCCCUUUUUUUCCCCAUUUUUUCCCCAUUUUUUCCCAUUUUUUCCCAUUUUUUUCCCUUUUUUUUCCCUUUUUUUCCCCAUUUUCCUCCCAUUUUUUCUCCAUUUUUGCCUCCUUUCUUUUCCCCAUUUUUUCCCCAUUUUUCCCCC